rnacentral:tRNA from 1 species
AUCCAGGAGCGGGAAUCGAACCCACAACCUUCUGCUUACCGGGCAGGUGCCAUGCCCACUAGGCUAUCCUGGA